AACGAACGCUGGCGGCGCGCCUAACACAUGCAAGUCGAACGAGAAGGCGUAGCAAUACGCUUGUAGAGUGGCGAACGGGUGAGUAAUACGUGGGUGACCUACCCUCGAGUGGGGAAUAACCCGCCGAAAGGCGGGCUAAUGCCGCGUACGCUUCCGUCCUCACGGGGACGGAAGGAAAGCUGUACCGUGGGUACGGCGCUCAAGGAUGGGCUCACGUCCUAUCAGCUUGUUGGUAGGGUAACGGCCUACCAAGGCUACGACGGGUAGCUGGUCUGAGAGGACGAUCAGCCACACUGGCACUGCGACACGGGCCAGACUCCUACGGGAGGCAGCAGUGGGGAAUCUUGCGCAAUGGGCGAAAGCCUGACGCAGCGACGCCGCGUGAGGGAUGACGGCCU
rnacentral:rRNA from 1 species